rnacentral:rRNA from 1 species
GCCCCCCAGGGGGGUUCCCCGAAAGGUCCCCGAAAUUCCCCAAAGGGGGGGGUUCCCCCCCAAAGGGGAAGGGGACCCCGGGGGGGGGGGGGGGGGCCCCCGGGGGGGGAAAAUGGGGGGCCCCCCCCGGGAGGGGGCGGGGGGAAAAAAAAUCGGGAAGGGGAAGGGGGCGGCGGGGAGUGUUUUGCAAAGGGCCCCUUUUGGGAAAACCCGAAGGUUUUUUUUUUUUCCUUUUUUUUUUUUUUUUUGUCCCGGGCCCAAAGGCCCCCAACCACCUUGGAUUGGGUUACAUUGCUUAUACAAGGGGUCCCCCCCCCCCGGCGUGACCCAGGGGGCCUUUUUGUUUUGAGUGUUGCUGGGCCCGCGGCGGGGGGCCCUGCUCACAGAGGGCAGGGGGUUUCUCUUGGGGGGCGCGGAGGGGAUACCAGUUGAACCCUCUAAAAAGAGGGAAAUUCGGGACCGGGAUUAACCUGGAUAUUUUUCCACCCGUUGUUCAAAUAGAAAGCUGUUUUGUUUCAAUUAAGGAGGCCCCGCCCCCUUUUAGUUAAGUGGAAGGUCACGCUUUCACAAGGCAACGUUGGUCCCCGCCUGGGAGGGUUAUCCGCCCCAAUGGAAAUGAGACCCGGUCCCAGAUUCCUACGGGACGCAGCAGUAGGUAUUCUCCCCAAUGGGCGAAACCUUGAGGAACAACGCCGGGUGAUGAUGAAGUCUUCGGAUCGUAAAACUCUGUUAUUAGGGAAGAACAAAUGUGUAAGUAACUAUGCACGUCUUGACGGUACUUAAUCAGAAAGCCACGGCUAACUACGUGCCAGCAGCCGCGGUAAUACGUAGGUGGCAAGCGUUAUCCGGAAUUAUUGGGCGUAAAGCGCGCGUAGGCGGUUUUUUAAGUCUGAUGUGAAAGCCCACGGCUCAACCGUGGAGGGUCAUUGGAAACUGGAAAACUUGAGUGCAGAAGAGGAAAGUGGAAUUCCAUGUGUAGCGGUGAAAUGCGCAGAGAUAUGGAGGAACACCAGUGGCGAAGGCGACUUUCUGGUCUGUAACUGACGCUGAUGUGCGAAAGCGUGGGGAUCAAACAGGAUUAGAUACCCUGGUAGUCCACGCCGUAAACGAUGAGUGCUAAGUGUUAGGGGGUUUCCGCCCCUUAGUGCUGCAGCUAACGCAUUAAGCACUCCGCCUGGGGAGUACGACCGCAAGGUUGAAACUCAAAGGAAUUGACGGGGACCCGCACAAGCGGUGGAGCAUGUGGUUUAAUUCGAAGCAACGCGAAGAACCUUACCAAAUCUUGACAUCCUCUGACCCCUCUAGAGAUAGAGUUUUCCCCUUCGGGGGACAGAGUGACAGGUGGUGCAUGGUUGUCGUCAGCUCGUGUCGUGAGAUGUUGGGUUAAGUCCCGCAACGAGCGCAACCCUUAAGCUUAGUUGCCAUCAUUAAGUUGGGCACUCUAAGUUGACUGCCGGUGACAAACCGGAGGAAGGUGGGGAUGACGUCAAAUCAUCAUGCCCCUUAUGAUUUGGGCUACACACGUGCUACAAUGGACAAUACAAAGGGCAGCGAAACCGCGAGGUCAAGCAAAUCCCAUAAAGUUGUUCUCAGUUCGGAUUGUAGUCUGCAACUCGACUAUAUGAAGCUGGAAUCGCUAGUAAUCGUAGAUCAGCAUGCUACGGUGAAUACGUUCCCGGGUCUUGUACACACCGCCCGUCACACCACGAGAGUUUGUAACACCCGAAGCCGGUGGAGUAACCAUUUGGAGCUAGCCGUCGAAGGUGGACAAAUGAUUGGGGGAAGUCGAACAAGGUGCCUGGG